ensembl:snRNA U6 U6 spliceosomal RNA
CUGCUCACUUCAUUAGCACAUAUACUAAAAUUGGAAUGAUACAGAGAAGAUUCUUGCAUUCCCUAUAUGAGAUGACAUGAAAAUUCAUAAACCAUUCCAUAUUUAA